GUUGGGUAGGGGAGCGUUCUGUAAGCCGUCGAAGGUGUGCUGUGAGGCAUGCUGGAGGUAUCAGAAGUGCGAAUGCUGACAUAAGUAACGAUAAAGCGGGUGAAAAGCCCGCUCGCCGGAAGACCAAGGGUUCCUGUCCAACGUUAAUCGGGGCAGGGUGAGUCGACCCCUAAGGCGAGGCCGAAAGGCGUAGUCGAUGGGAAACGGGUUAAUAUUCCCGUACUGGGUGUUACUGCGAAGGGGGGACGGAGAAGGCUAUGUUAGCCGGGCGACGGUUGUCCCGGUUUAAGCGUGCAGGCUUGAGUUCCAGGCAAAUCCGGAACUCUUUAAGGCUGAGGCGUGAUGACGAGGCACCACGGUGCUGAAGUAACAAAUGCCCUGCUUCCAGGAAAAGCCUCUAAGCAUCAGGUAACAUCCAAUCGUACCCCAAACCGACACAGGUGGUCAGGUAGAGAAUACCAAGGCGCUUGAGAGAACUCGGGUGAAGGAACUAGGCAAAAUGGUGCCGUAACUUCGGGAGAAGGCACGCUGGCGCGUAGGUGAAGCGACUUGCUCGUGGAGCUGAAGCCAGUCGAAGAUACCAGCUGGCUGCAACUGUUUAUUAAAAACACAGCACUGUGCAAACACGAAAGUGGACGUAUACGGUGUGACGCCUGCCCGGUGCCGGAAGGUUAAUUGAUGGGGUUAUCCGCAAGGAGAAGCUCUUGAUCGAAGCCCCGGUAAACGGCGGCCGUAACUAUAACGGUCCUAAGGUAGCGAAAUUCCUUGUCGGGUAAGUUCCGACCUGCACGAAUGGCGUAAUGAUGGCCAGGCUGUCUCCACCCGAGACUCAGUGAAAUUGAACUCGCUGUGAAGAUGCAGUGUACCCGCGGCAAGACGGAAAGACCCCGUGAACCUUUACUACAGCUUGACACUGAACAUUGAGCCUUGAUGUGUAGGAUAGGUGGGAGGCUUUGAAGCGUGGACGCCAGUCUGCGUGGAGCCAACCUUGAAAUACCACCCUUUAACGUUUGAUGUUCUAACCUGGCGCCGUUACCCGGCGUGGGGACAGUGUCUGGUGGGUAGUUUGACUGGGGCGGUCUCCUCCCAAAGAGUAACGGAGGAGCACGAAGGUCAGCUAAUCACGGUCGGACAUCGUGAGGUUAGUGCAAUGGCAUAAGCUGGCUUGACUGCGAGAGUGACGGCUCGAGCAGGUGCGAAAGCAGGUCAUAGUGAUCCGGUGGUUCUGAAUGGAAGGGCCAUCGCUCAACGGAUAAAAGGUACUCCGGGGAUAACAGGCUGAUACCGCCCAAGAGUUCAUAUCGACGGCGGUGUUUGGCACCUCGAUGUCGGCUCAUCACAUCCUGGGGCUGAAGUAGGUCCCAAGGGUACGGCUGUUCGCCGUUUAAAGUGGUACGCGAGCUGGGUUUAGAACGUCGUGAGACAGUUCGGUCCCUAUCUGCCGUGGGCGCUGGAAGAUUGAGAGGGGUUGCUCCUAGUACGAGAGGACCGGAGUGAACGCACCGCUGGUGUUCGGGUUGUCAUGCCAAUGGCAUUGCCCGGUAGCUAAGUGCGGAAAAGAUAAGCGCUGAAAGCAUCUAAGCGCGAAACUUGCCUCGAGAUGAAUCUUCCCUGACUCCUUGA
rnacentral:rRNA from 1 species